CCGAGAGUUUGCAAAAACUCCCUCAACCCCUGUGAACUAUCAUAAAGAAUCGUUGCUUCGGCGGGUGCGCCGGGGAGGGAGGGGGGACGACCCCGUACGACCUCCCCCGGACCUACACGCCCCGCCGGAGGCCACCAGACUAGCCGUCGUUUUUGUGGUCUUCUGAGUCGUUUGAAAAUGAAAAUGCUCUAAA
rnacentral:misc_RNA from 1 species